UACGUAGGGGGCAAGCGUUGUCCGGAAUCAUUGGGCGUAAAGAGCGUGUAGGCGGCUCGGUAAGUCCGCUGUGAAAGUCCAGGGCUCAACCCUGGAAUGCCGGUGGAAACUGUCGAGCUAGAGUCCGGAAGAGGCGAGUGGAAUUCCUGGUGUAGCGGUGAAAUGCGCAGAUAUCAGGAGGAACACCGAUGGCGAAGGCAGAUCUCUGGGCCGUAACUGACGCUGAGGAGCGAAAGCAUGGGGAGCGAACAGG
rnacentral:rRNA from 1 species